UUAAUUUUCUCAUGCGACUUAAUCUCUUCAUUUGAAUGCUUCAGCUGUAUUAAUGACUUUUUCUCUCAUUUUUCACACGCCUUCUAUCCUGUAUCGCCCAUCUGAGAGACAUUCCUCUGAUCACAGAGCUGCUACCCAUACAGUACCAGGCAUAAGAAGUAGAGCAGCCAGCUACUUUAGAGAGAGAGACUCUUCAUAUGGCCCUGUAACACAUGUGGUCCUUGUUCAUGAGAACUUGUUAUGACUUUAUCUGCUAAGUUAAUUACCCAGCAUUGGCUCACUAGUCAGGUUACCUCUUCAGCCUUCUCCCUGGUUAAGUACUGAUUUCAAAUGCAAGGUUUGUUUUUCAGUGCUGGGUCAUUUCAGUGGCCCUUCUGUCCAGUAUCUUCAAAUCCUUCUCACUGGUGUUCUUACUGUGCUGUAUGCAGAGGCAGUCUCAGCUUUUCAUUUCUGCUUGUCUUCCCCAGAGCCUGACCUCAUCUUGAUUCAAAGAGACCCUGCACCUCCCCAGAUAUCAGGCAAACAACAGGAGAUGGGAUCUGAGAAAAGGAAAUAUUAGGUUAUAAUUCACACCAAAAGAAAAGAAAGGACAAAAAGAAAAAGAAGGUACCAGAAG
rnacentral:lncRNA from 1 species